rnacentral:rRNA from 1 species
CAGCCGCCGCGGUAAUACGAAGGGGGCUAGCGUUGUUCGGAUUUACUGGGCGUAAAGGGUGCGUAGGCGGAUUGUUAAGUCAGGGGUGAAAUCCCGAGGCUCAACCUCGGAACUGCCUUUGAUACUGGCGAUCUUGAGUCCGGGAGAGGUGGGCGGAACUGCGAGUGUAGAGGUGAAAUUCGUAGAUAUUCGCAAGAACACCGGUGGCGAAGGCGGCUCACUGGCCCGGAACUGACGCUGAGGCACUAAAGCGUGGGGAGCAAACAGGAUUAGAUACCCGCGUAGUCCCUGUCUCUUAUAU